UACGUAGGGGGCAAGCGUUAUCCGGAAUUAUUGGGCGUAAAGAGUGCGUAGGUGGUUACCUAAGCGCAGGGUAUAAGGCAAUGGCUCAACCAUUGUUCGCCCUGCGAACUGGGCUACUUGAGUGCAGGAGAGGAAAGCGGAAUUCCUAGUGUAGCGGUGAAAUGCGUAGAUAUUAGGAGGAACACCAGUGGCGAAGGCGGCUUUCUGGACUGUAACUGACACUGAGGCACGAAAGCGUGGGGAGCAAACAGG
rnacentral:rRNA from 1 species